rnacentral:misc_RNA from 1 species
GAAAACUUCCACUCCUAAAAAAAACCUUUGUUACUUACUACAAUAAUGAUACUAAUUUCAAACACAGCUUGUGAUUUAAAAAGAAAAAUCGAGUAAUAAAUAUUUAACUUACAACAUAGCGAAAGUCUCAUUCUUUGUCAAAACUUAGUCCAGCCCAAAGCCACAGGUUAAAUCAUAAUCCCUGGCUGUAUUCCUACACGGCUAAUUUCCACCAGCACUAACAUUCUGAACAGCUUGACAUUGAAAAUGAAAGUACAAGAUCAUGUAUUCAGCAUCCACCAUGACUAAAAGAAAAAAUAUAUUUAUAUUGACAAAGUCCAAUGAUUAUUCUACUUUUUUAAGAAACUUCAGUUCACAAAGCCUUCGCAUCUUGUUGACCGCACUGAAAGACUCAAGGGGCAACCCCAGUUCUCCAUGGCCACAAUCCUUGACUUAGUAUGGCCUAUACCUCCAAUCUGCCCUUGAAGGUCUUGCACUACCCAGUCCAUAACCCCAAUCAUCAAAAUCAAGGCUUCCAUACAUCCUACCAAAGUUGCGCAAAGGACCACCAUAACCCCCAAAAGGUGGAGCAGUAUUCAUCAUGAAAUUUCCACUUGGGCCAGCAUCAUCAAUAGGUGUUGCUGAAUCUAUUGCAACCUGCACCACAAGACAAUAUAAACAAGUUCUGUUACGCAAAUUAAACCAAAUUCAUAACUAAAGCUACUGCUUCUUCGGGCAGGGAAAAGUAUCAUCCUUGUUGGUAAAGGCAUAAACGAUGCUUGAAUGCUCACACAAUGGCAUGCAUACCACAUAAAAUAUGGAGCCCUGCUGUGAUGUGUACUUGCCUAAUAUCCCUACCACACAACACAAACAUAAAAUUCAAGUAGUUGAAUGAACAUUGAACAAAGGCAAGAAAACCUUCAAUGGAAGAUUAUAAAUCUGAAUAAACAUGUUAUCACUAAAAAAACCUAAAGCACGAGGAAUGCAUUCUGUAUGCAUCUUUCUUAUGGUACAAAGUCAACAGGAAACUCACCAAACAACAAUUAACCAUCAACAUAUGAGAUAGAUGAAGUGCCAUGUAAUACCUGGUGUCCACAAAUCUCAUGAGACCUUCGAGAAACACGAUCUGCUGCCCCAUCUUCGGCAAAGGUUACAAAUCCAAAACCUCUGUGGCCAGUUCUCUUUGGGUCCUACACUCAAUAACCCUUAACUCCUUAACAUGUUUAUUAAGUUAAUAUAGGACAAUAGAAAUACUAAUACCUUAACUUGGGAACAUAAACAUCUGGACAAUAGAAAUACUAAUAUCUUACCUUGGGAACAUAAACAUCUAAUAUACGACCAAAUCUACCAAAAUACUGGUGAAGAUCUUCAGAAGUUGCUUCCUGAGGAAGCCUGCCAACAAAAAUCUUUUUGCCCAUUCCUCUAGCAGGUUCCCUUCCAUACAUUGGACCUGGAUGGUCAUAUAAGGUUGGAGCACCAAGUGCUGCAUAUCUAGUAGCUGCAGAAAUAUAAGCAUUGUAAGCACCAUAUCCACCAUGUGCCAUUCUUCCAACUGGCCUGAAAUCAUCUUCCUGACAAUAAAAUAUUGUACAGUUGACAUUAAUUCGAGUACUAAUUAACUUCAAAUCCAAAAUUUACAAGAUAUAAUAAAAUAUGUUGACAUGUCAAUUAGAAUAUAGUGUCAAAAUUAAAAAGAAGAGAUUUUCAUCCACUAGAUAAAAAAACGCACAGUUGAAAAAGAAAAAAGUACUUGCCUUGGGUGUUGCUCGAUCAACAACUACAUUAGAACCUCCCAGUUCAUGAUUAUCAGCCAUCAAACUGUCCACAGUAUCUGCACUGGCAAAUGUGAUAAAUCCAAUCCCACGAUGUGCUUUAGAGCUAUGAUCCUUUGGCAUGUACAGAUCUAUUAUAUCGCCAUAUUUCUCAAAAUGACUUCGAAAGGUAGUUUCAGUCACAGAUGGUGGAAUCCUUGCCACAAAUAUCCUUGUCACUUUCUUUGCAGGUGCUCUCAUCUCCUCCUGCUAAAAGAAAAUAGAAAAUAAAGCAUACAUGCGUGCAAACCUAACUUCUUGGAUGCACCUAUAAUUCAAAGUCAUAUGCACUAUGGAGAACAGAGCGCAGCCUUGAAAUCAUAGAUUGAUAAGUAGAACCAAAUAUAUAUUGAGAUUUUUAAGGCACAACCUUUGGCGUGGCCACUUUAACUUCCAGCAUUCUAUUGCCAAGAAAAUGUUCACUCGAUAAUGCAUUCUUUGCAUUUUCAGCUGAUGCAAACGUUACAUACCCAAAACCCCGAGAGCGACCUGAUGACCGCUCCUUCAUGACAAUACAAUCCUCCAAUUCUCCAAAUUUGCUCAUAUAUUCCCUCAAACCUUCUGUAUCCACCUCCCAUGGUAUACCCAAAACCACAAGCUUUCGUUCCAUGAAAAAAUUCAAGAACUUUUGCUAUAAGCGAAUAGGGGAUGGAGAUGGCGAAACCCUAACACUCAAAUUGGUUCGAAAUCGCUCUCUUAGCUCAAGCAGACUCACAAAACUCUCUCUAUCUCUCUCACACUCCUGGUCGCCCCCUUUCGAUCUCCGGGAAUGUCAAAAACCCUAAUUCAGAUAUCCCCCUCUCUCCCACACCCUUGCACGUUCGUUCGCUCGCUCGCUCCCUUCCUUCCCUACUUAUAUCUACGAAGCUCUCUCUAGCUCGCAAGCGCCAAACCGUCU